rnacentral:rRNA from 1 species
CACGUAGGGCGCAAGCGUUGUCCGGAAUUAUUGGGCGUAAAGAGCUCGUAGGCGGUCUGUUGCGUCCGCUGUGAAAACUCGGGGCUUAACCCCGAGCCUGCAGUGGAUACGGGCAGACUAGAGGUAGGUAGGGGAGAAUGGAAUUCCCGGUGUAGCGGUGAAAUGCGCAGAUAUCAGGAGGAACACCGAUGGCGAAGGCAGGUCUCUGGGCCACUACUGACGCUGAGAAGCGAAAGCAUGGGGGAGCGAACAGG